rnacentral:lncRNA from 1 species
CUAAACGGUUUAACGGGCAUAAAAAAGGAAAGGAAAGGUAUGUGUUCAAUAUGAACUAAGACACGUAUUUAUAUGUACAUUGAAAUGGUAUGAUACAUGAACAACAUGUUAUGUUAUGAUGGAUAAUGAAUCCAAUUGAAUCAUGCUCAAGUAUAAUGAUUAUCCAUGUCAAAUUCAUAUGAAUCAUGUUUUAAAUGAACUAACAUGUGUUGUUGAUGUGCUUAGGCUUAUGCCAAGCUUGUGGAUAUGAUUGAUGUUUAUGAUUAUGCUUGUACUCUGCAUAUGAAACGGGUAAGAAAAUGGAAUGAAAUGGUAAGUACGUAAUUGGGA